CCCAGACAGCCAGGAUGUUGGCUUAGAAGCAGCCAUCAUUUAAAGAAAGCGUAAUAGCUCACUGGUCGAGUCGGCCUGCGCGGAAGAUGUAACGGGGCUAAACCAUGCACCGAAGCUGCGGCAGCGAACGUAUCACCCAAGACAACUUUACGGAGUUGACGAUUGACGGAGCGAAGCGACGUCAAAGCGUUCAUUAAAGUCGAGUUGGCUUAGGGAUACGUUCGUUGGGUAGGGGAGCGUUCUGUAAGCCUGUGAAGGUGGCCUGUGAGGGGUGCUGGAGGUAUCAGAAGUGCGAAUGCUGACAUAAGUAACGAUAAAGCGGGUGAAAAGCCCGCUCGCCGGAAGACCAAGGGUUCCUGUCCAACGUUAAUCGGGGCAGGGUGAGUCGACCCCUAAGGCGAGGCCGAAAGGCGUAGUCGAUGGGAAACGGGUUAAUAUUCCCGUACUUGGUGUUACUGCGAAGGGGGGACGGAGAAGGCUAUGUUGGCCGGGCGACGGUUGUCCCGGUUUAAGCGUGUAGGUGUGUGUUCCAGGUAAAUCCGGUUCACUUUAACACUGAGGCGUGACGACGAGGCACUACGGUGCUGAAGCAACAAAUGCCCUGCUUCCAGGAAAAGCCUCUAAGCAUCAGGUAACAUCAAAUCGUACCCCAAACCGACACAGGUGGUCAGGUAGAGAAUACCAAGGCGCUUGA
rnacentral:rRNA from 1 species